rnacentral:lncRNA from 1 species
AGGUGUUGAGGGCAGCACCUCCUCCGCAUCGUGGCUGCGCACCAGGAACUCGGCUUGGCUGUGACCUGGGGGAUGGGAAAGACAUCUGAGAAGUGGGUUAGGGGAGAAACGUGGCACAGCGGGGGCCUGGCAGGAGAGGACUCAGAUACCAAAUUAGAGGCCCCAACUUGCCCACGAGGAGAGGAGUCCAGAAGAGUGUCUCAGCCAUGGCUGCCCGGCCUGGCCCGCCCGGCCAAGCUGGGUGUCCCCUUAGCCCCUGCGUGCUUUCCUGGGCACAACACAAUCACACAGACUGCUCCAAGCUCCUCGAAGACUAGGAUCUUGUCACGUUUGUGCCAUCCACCCAGCCUUUAUCCCCAGUCCAAGCACUUCAGCGUGGAGGUCUAGCAAGCCCUGGACAGGACCAGCCAGCUAGAGACAGGUGUGGACGUUUAUGCAAUUCUGGAAGGUCUCCUGGUGGGGACCCCUGGGAAAGAGACUAAUAAGAAAGCAUCCAGUUUCUUCGGUCUCUGACGUUGUUGUCUGCACAAGAGAGUUAAGGCAGCCAUCUUGGGACCAUGAGGGAGCCAGUCUAAGAGGCAAAUCAACACAAUGAGAGGGUGUUGGAAAAAGACAAAAAGAACCUGGUCCUUGAUGUCACAGCCAGGCCUCUGAAUUAACCACCCCCAGGACUUCUUGUUACGUGAGCUAAUAAACGUUCCUUUUUGCUUAAACCCCUUCUAGUUGGGCUUUCUGUUGUAACUUGCACCG